CAGCUAGCACUACUCACAUCCUGCAGGCACUUCAGCUCAUGUCCUCGAGCAGAAAGGUCUGCAGCGGGAGUUUCUCUUCUCUGAAUAGGCAAAGAGCUUGGUUAGUCAGAGUCUUCUGUUACUUUUCUAGAUACCCACUCUCACCGUAUCCAUUUUGGUUUAUUUGCUGGAGCACUUUCGUUGCAUCUGUAUUCUUGAUAGUUGUUGAGGAAGAAGAGAGAGGAACUGCAUGUGAAGUAUUUAACAUUAAAGAGCAUUUACACCCUUUAAUUUAUUACAAGAAGCUUUAAUAACAGUGUAGAUAUCCUAUGCUGAACUGAAGCCCUCCUAAGAAGUACAAAGAGAUGAAAUGUAAUAGGCUGUAUACAUAGUUGAAAUAUCAUUGCUACUUGAAGUGCAGCACUUUUACUGAGAGUGCUCUCUAAUCCAUUUUAAACUGAAUAUGAAUAGUUCUGUGAUAACGCCAUCUUUUUUCAUCACUUUGUUGUUUUCCUAAAACUCGAUCAUUGAUCAUAAAAGCCCCACAUUUCUGCUUGAGUCAGUUCCCAGAGGUGGUUUUGUAUUUGUUGUGCAUAUAUAUUUUUAGUUUUAUAAAGGUUCUUAAAGUCAGGAGUUUACUGAAGGCAAAAUGGAGGUAAAGGUAUGGUUAUUUACACCAGAAUCUCAUAGCAUUGUAUUUUUAGUGAUUACUAGAGAUGUUGGUUUUCAUUUUGCAAGAAGAGGCAAAAAGAAGUGCUUAUAAAACACUUUUCUUAUCAUGAUGCAACUGCUUUUUAUUAAAAAAAAAAAAAAAAGAACAAGCUAGUCAAUGAAAACAAAAAUUCUGCUCCUGGAAGCGUUCCUGAACAAGCACUGCCCCAUUUUUCAGAAGAGGGGCUUCAUCCACCCCCGUGAACUGCCCAGAGUCACUGAGAUUUAUUAGCAAGGUGAGUCGGCUCCUGUCAUGUGAAAAGUUAUUAAUGGCUUUGCGAUAAUUCACAUUAAUUGCAUCAUGUGAACUUCCAUUAUCACUCUCAUCUGUAACCUCCUAAAAAUAUCAAGGUUAUCAGUUAUUUAUAUUCUUCCUCUUAUAUCAGUGACCUCAAAUUAUAUCAUUGUUUUUCAUUCCACAACAGUUUUUAUUGUUUUAUAUGUCAUGGGAGUCAAAAAUAAAGCAAUAUUCUCAGCCAGCCCUAAAAUCUGGUCAGGUUUCAACUGCUUGUCUCUCUAUAACCCAGCUGUACAUUUAAAACCAUGCCUGUAAAGCAGCUUACGUACCUGUGUUUACAGCUUUUGGACAGCUUAGCCCAGCAGAACUCAUUUCAUACCGUUGACGUUGAACAGAUUGACAGCCUGCAUGGAAUGGGGACUAAAAUAAAGCUCUCGGUGAGCAACGUGACCAUGGAAGAUUCUCAGUUACUGUGAAGCUAGAUAUUCUUAAGAGCAGAAUAAAGAAAAUAUGUAUAUGAGUAAAAGAAAAUGUAAUAAUGCCUAACCAUCUCCUUGGCUGUAUGCACUGCAAUAAAUAGGCUGGCUAUUAGGAAAUGUUCUCUGAAAGAGACGUGAUGCACAGGCUGCCGAGGGAGUGAUGGGGUCACCAUCCCUCAAAGUGCUCCAGAAGUGUGGAGAUGUGACACUGAGGGAAUGGUCAGUGGGCAUGGUAUGGCAUGGUGGGUUAGAUUGGGGUUGGGGAUCUUAGAGGUCUUUUCAAAUACUAAUGGCUCUGUGAUUCUAUGAAUAACUUAAUGAGAGUCCUCUGCGAUGGCAAUAUGAUGUAUAUAAACAUCUGUGGUACUGGAAGAUUGUUCUUAAUGUUUUACAAAUAGAGUCUGGAAGGUAAAAAAUCCACCUAAUCACUAGAUAGCACUCCUUUAAAGACAAUUCUGAAUGGAAGAUGAGAUAGAUGGGUGUCUCAUAGAGUCAUGUAAUGGCUUGGGUUGGAAGGGACCCCAAGAAACAUCAAGUUCCAACUUCUCUGCUGUAGGUAGGGCCACCAACCUCCAGAUCUGGUACUGGACCAGGCUGCCCAGGGCCCCAUCCAACCUGGUCUCAGAGCCAUUCGCCAGGGAAACAUUCAGCAGUGCUGAGCUGUGCAAAGCGAGCCCAGCUGGAGUAGCUGCUUACACCUGUUUCUGUAAGUAUUGCUUCUGUAACACUUGUAUCUGCUACUGACACUAUGAAGGGCACAUUUACAUUCAAUGUUGCGUGAUUUGCUGCAUUUUGUUGUGGUACUGACUCUGGUACCCCAAGGGCUUAGAGGAGCAAAAUAUUUUGGAUUGAGGGACAAGUGUUUCCAACUGAAUGAGCAGAUGCAGCACCUGGAGCACCCCAGUGUGCCUCAAGGAGUAAAAGAUCCUCUACAGAGUCCCCUAAAGGUGACCAGCAAGAUGUGCCCAACAGAAAUGGGCUUCUGUCGUGGCUGGCACCGCAUAAACACCAAAUGAGAAGCAGCACCAUCUCUGCAUCCAAAAUAGAGCUGAUAAAAAAUAAGAAUGAGGGAGGAGACAGAGAUGAAAUGGGUUGGCAAAGCAAAAUGGAGAGCCUGAGGUCUCAUGCUGUGACCAUGUUGUUUUCCUUGUCGGUGGCACUAACAAAUACUUAGCAAAAGCAGUUACAUUAUUUACAAUUCAAAAAAUGAAAGCUUUAUUUGCCUUUAGUUACAAAACAUGAGACUGAAAAUUGAGAUUUAUUUAAUAAUAUGAUUUAUGCUCCCAUGGGAUAUCUGUAUUAAAUCCAAAGAAUUCAAUGUAGUAGGUGUAAAAAUAGAGAAUUAAUUCUGAGAUAAGUUCCUAUAUGCAGAUGAUAUAGUGACUUAAGUCAAAAUAGUUUUUAGGGUGGAUCUGGUAAAGAGCAGGGAAUUUGAUUUUUUAACAUCCGACAUCUCAAGAUAUGUAGAGGGGCAAACCAAGCACAGUGGUAAAGCUGUACCAGCUUUGGGCUGCUUGAAUCAGUGACAGGCUCUCCAACCCUCCCAGGGAAAGGCUGAUGUUUUUCCUUCUUGUCUGAGGUUAAUUCCCGUUCUCUCUUUGUGUAGGAGCUGCAGCAUGAUAUAGAGAAAUGAGCAGGAGGCAGUAGUUCUGCUUCAGAGCAGCUGAAAAGGGAUUUAUUUUCAUUAGAAAGACACUUGCAACCUCUAGACAACAAACUGAAGUUUGUGGUCAGAGCAGUAUGCUCUGAAACCCAUCGGAAUGGCUCUAUUCAGGUACUAUAAUUGUUGGAAUAGCCUGGAGUGCUUCCGUUUUCCUUUAUGGAAGCUGGUAUACAGGAAUCCAAACAAUGGCUAUCGCAAUGUCUGUGCUCAGCUUUGAUUUUCAGCUCUGUCACGUACUGUUAUUUCAUGUCUUCUCCUUAAACUUUUCACUUGAAUUAAAAAAAAAAAAAAAAAAAAAAAAAAAAGAAACAAGAUUUUGACUGAGUUUUCAAGCACUAUUACUGCUGUAUUGCAUUUCUCUUAUAUAACAGCGCCUUUUCACUGGAAGAUCCAAAUCCAAAGUUUGCAUCUGGGUAUGGUCCUGAGCUGAGUGCUUGAAUGGGAGAUGGCAGGAGAAGCAUUCCUUGCCUUCCUGCUCAGUGACUCAUUUGCACCAAAAGGAAGAAUAAAGCCUGGUCUGUUGUUCCAAAAAAGCAUCUUCCACAAAGCCACAGCUUCCACCAGUUCCAGUUGUUUCUCAAACCCAUAUGAACUUGUGAGAACUGCAGCAUUGCACAACAAGUGCUUCUGCAACUUCUGCUUGCUUAAAGGGAAGAAGUCCAAGUGAUGCUGUAUGCUGUGAGUAUGCUGUUUUCAUUAAAGUCCAUGGAAGAUGUCUCUGUGCAUGCGUGUAUGUCCAUAUAUGUAUACAUACAAGAUCUGAAUUCCCAAGGGCAUCCUUCCACAGAAUAUUAUAUAUAUAUAAUAAUAAUGGUUAUAUAUAUAUAUAUAUAUAACACUGAGUCAUGCAAUGUACCUAAUCACAAACGGAUGUUAAUAUAGACUUCUUUUCUCUAUGACUUACGAAACUAAGAUUUCAACUUUUGUAUCAUCUCUACUGAAAGCACAAUUUUAGUAGUAUGAUUGAAGGGGGGAGGGGAAAAUAACUGGAAGGUAUAUGACAAAAUUAUAAAAGCAUUUUUUUUUUUUCUCUGUGAAUUCUAGCAGAUACUGGGAAAUGACUUAUCUGGCAGCUGUAUAGUUUGAUUGUGUAUACUACUGCAAAAGGUAAUUAAGCAUCUGAGAGGGGGAAAAUAAAAAGAAGCAGAAUAAAAUGAGUGCUAUAGAUACUAGAAAGCUCUUUUAAAGAAUCAAUUAUUCUCUGAAACAUGAGAAGCUCCAUUACAAUGGAAGCAGUUGCUGGGAGCCACCCCACUAUGUAUCCAUUUCUCAAAAUAGUACAAGCGCUUCCAGAGAGAAAGCCAAGUCAUUCAUUAUAGAAUGCCCACAGGACAUAUAUUUUUUCCAAGUGAACUUUGCAUUCCUCUUUUGCAGAGGAAAGCAAAUCUGAAAUAAAGAGAAAUGCUUAGCAGGGAAACUACAGUGGCCUUAGAAGUUGCUAUGAAGCAUAGUAUUUAUGGGAAAUGUAGUGAUUUUUGUGUCUGUUCUGAUUAUUCAUAUCAUUUAAAUAUUUAUAAAUUUAAAAAUUCUUGCCUUUGUACCAAAGGGAAAAAAAAAGAAAAAAGAAAAAAGAAAAAAAACAUACACUGUCUCUGCAGGUGUAGCUGUAUAGUGUGAUACAUACAUUCCUUUAAACAAUUAGCCUUUAGUACACUUAACUUGCAAUUAAGUAGCAUUAAAGGACUGGAGAGGAAGAGAUCUAUUGCUAGAGACUGUUACAUGUGUAAAAUGGCAGUAUGGUAUGCAAAACUCUGGGUAUAAUUCAUGGAAAAGCAGCCAAUAUGUACAGUAAUAUGCUUGCAAUAUAAUGGAUUUCCCACAAGGGAAAUCACAGUUUUGCAAAACUGGCAAGCUAGAUACAGAAAAGAGCCUUUUCAAAGCUGAUUUUUUUUUCUGCUGUUAUUUUUUGCUAAUAAGACAAUAGAUUACUGUGUUAUGCUAGUUUAUAUUUUUGCUUCUAAACAUUUAACUUUAGUAAGGGAUUGGCAAAGCUGAUGUGAAGCACUCAGCAAGGUAAAGAGACUUUGCUUCUGUUUUCCAAGGGAUUUGAUGUCUGACAUCUCUGCAGAACUUUACCCUGUAAUGGUUGUCUUAGCACGUUGGAAAUCUGGCCCUUUGCAAGACGGAUUAACUCUGGACCUUUGCUUAACAGAUUAGUUUAACAUAUGAGAGAACUUUGAUCAGUUUAUGUACAAUGCGGUGGUCUCUAAUGAGUUCAUUUUUAAGUACUUCUGCAGCAUAAGCAGGGAAAUAACUUCAUUUUCUGCAGUGCUCUUCCCUACUUCUUCCUGACAUAAAAUGUUACCCCUCACUGAGAUGUAUUUUCUUCCAAAAGAUCAGUUAAUUGGAGCUAAGCCAACCACCCUAUGAGCUCAUUGCCCUCCCUCCAAGCUUCUGCUUCUUCAAGACUUCAGAACAGUCCUGGCCAGAAUUUCCUGGUAAUGUGGUGAGGCAAUGCACUUUUGGUAAUAAUACUGAGCAUCCUGGAUGAGUAACUCACCAAAACCAUAGCUUUCACUGCUGUGACUUCAUAUAAGACAAUCAUGUAAAAAUACAUCAUAAUGCUUUUGGACAAGUUUUUCAGCAAUUUCAGCCAGGCUCACAAACUGGAAUUUCUGGCUCUCCCCCCCCAAAAAACUCUACUGUCUACAUUUUUGUCUAACUGAACUUUUAUGGUGUAAAUCAUCCAUGGUGGUAAGAACAGUGAUGAAUCUAAGUUAACCUACUACCUUUGUAGGACAAAAUGACUGAUGUUGAACCAGGGACACCAGUUUUAGGAUUAAGAGGUACAGCAGUUUGCUUGGACCAUUGAGCUGGUUAUUCCUAUUUGUAACAACUGUUUUAGGAACAUCUGGAGAUGCACAGGAAGUUGGUUUACCUGUGGAAAAGGUGUUGGUUAACAAAGAUGUUUUUGCUGAAGCACAAACAGAUGGAGACUGGGGGAAAUGAUGUCACAGUGAAUUCAGCAUGGCAAAAUAGUGUUUCUCUGAAUGUUAUUUAUUUUUUGCUGGUUUGCUAAUGAGAGGUUUCUAGGUGAGAGAGUAGAAAGAGUAGAGAAGAAGUUUGGAGUGUUCACUGUAAUGAAAGACAUUCAUUGCAAUGAAAGGGGAUUUCUGACAUUAGUUUAUUUCUAGGCCAAAAGCAAUGGAGUAUGCUAUGAAAUUAAGGCCCCGUGAUUGUGUGCUUGGUUGUUUUGCUGGGUGUAAGUCAGCUCUCACAAGCCACUUAGAUUCAUUUCAAGGUUGUUACAAAUCUGUAGGAGUGAAUGCAUGUUGCUGAGUAAGCUGAGAGGCUUUUUUUUUUUUUUAAAGAAACGGCAUAGCCCCAUUCCAAAUGUUACUCUUGAAGGUGGCCUCAGAGAUAUUAGCCCAGAUUGAAGGCCGGUAGCAGCUCCUUCACAGUGAGCCCACACAGAUCCUAUUUUUGUGUCUAUUAGAGAACAGAUGUCAAGUGUAUGCAUCAGCAGAUUUAUCCAGACAUCCGUCAUCCCGAGCAGGAUGACUGGUGGUGACCUGAGGCCUGACAUCUGCCUGCUGCAGUGCAACUGAAAGACAUCAGCUUUCUUUGAGGAUGUGGAGACCACCUGAGCAGACCUGAAAUUACGAAGACAGGUGUCUGAGGCUUAACAGAUGAAAACCACUUGCUGAAAAUAAAGGUCAGACCAUGGUAGAAAAGAGGUGACCUCUUUCUCAGCUCAGUUCACCAACAAUAUCUAUGGGAAACAGCUGUGACAGUUCCCUUCAGCACAAUAUCCACAGGUCCAAGCUGUUAAAACUGUAGUUAGUCUGCCUGGGCUACUGCUAUCUGCAAUGCUCUUCACAGAAGUAAGCAUUCUGCCUGAGACUGAGCCAUGAGUGCAGUAAUUUUGGGCAAAUGUUGCAAAACUCAGAAGCAGGUAGGUAUGAAAUUUUCAUUUUUGUCUUCUUUUUCCUGUAAAGAUUAAUGGAUGUGUACAUUUUUAUUGUUUUAGGAAAGAGUCAUUAUAUAUAUAAUUGAAGUUUAAAUCUUCCUUAAAUUUAAUCUUAAUUGUAUUUGAGACUAUGGGCUUUAAGCAUUGCUCAACAAUCACCUCUCAUUUAAGUAAAUUGAAAAAGGUCAUGAUUCAUUCGUGUUGAAGAAUUAAGAGUGAUGUUAAUUAUUAAGUAAUUGUAGUUAUGGAAAUCAGGCUAUUCUCUAUAUCAACCUGAAACAAGAUUUUUUCAUUCUAGCCAAAGAGCAAGAUCUUUAAAUUGUCAAAUCAAAAAUCUCUUUCAGGAAUGGAGAUCUUAUCUGGACAGCGUCAGAUUAAAACAACAUAGCUGCUUUCUCCAGUUGACAAAUGCAAGAUUAUUCACAGCUGAUUCUUAGUCAGCUUCAUGAGUUGAAUAUCUGCCCUCUGUGCAUAAUAAGAUAUAUGGAUGAUCAAAGCAAUUAUAGUUUCUCUUUUAUCAUUUUAUUAAUUGAAUAUCAGUUAUUAUUUGAAUGUUGUUUUUAUUUCCUGUUAAUUAAUGAAGUUAGGUUUACUUGUAGUUAUAUGUUCAUUUAAACUUAAUCAGGUUAGUAAAUACGAUGGCAAAAUCUACUUCCCCUUUUCCCAGCUCAAAAUCAUGAGAUGUGAACAAUCGUUAUUACUUGAAAGGUGAUUCAGCCUCUGGGUAAGCAAAGCCGUUAUCGGGCCCUUCUGAUCUGCCUUACUUUUCUUGCUUUGCUACAGAAGCAGAAGUCAGAUGGGGAAAGCUGAAUGUGCAUGAGUCUCCCUUUUGCCAUUAAUUUUUGGGAAGACUUGCAUGUUUUAGCUGCUCUUUGUGCCUUUGAAAGCAUCAUUCAAACAGCUUCUUAAUUAAAAUGGAGAAUCAGGCAAUAAAACAUUGUAAUCAGUGCCUCCGUUCGUGAUGUGUCUGAGGUGAUACGUGCUUUGUGUUCAUAGACAAUAGAACUUUGAAAACCAACAAAACAGCAGAAAAUGUUAUUUAUUUUUCUGUCCUGCUCAGUGACCUUUGCUAUUGGUGGAGCCUCUGAAGUCUGGCAGAGAAAAUGAAAUCCAGGUCUAGUGUGGCUAAUAUUCAACUCAACAGCAAAAGAUAGAUUUUACAUUCUUCUUUUCUUUAUGCAAAAGCUGUUUGUUGAGUUGACAUUGUGAAAUCAGUCUGGCUAGUUGUGAAUGAUGUAUGAAAGAGGAAAAAAUCCUGCCCAGAGCCCAAAUAAACAGGUGCUGCAGUAAGACCAAGGUAGUUGUGCUAAGCUAUCCUAUUUGCUGUGUCUGAGGCUGGAGGCAUUUCUGGUGGUCACCUGGCCAACCCCUGUCCCAGCAGUCACAUAGUUAGCUCAUGUCUUUACGUGUCCAAGAGUCUAUUAGUUUAGAUUUUGCUCAGAGAACAAGUAGGUAACGUAGAUGUGACUAAAAUUCAAAAUUCCACCAAUUUAUUCCUUCUCCCUUAGUAUUUUUCUCUAAAGAUGGGAGUAUUUGAAUAAUUACAUUAAUUAUUUUAUUUUAGCUGUAAUUCUAAUUAUAGCCUUAAUCUUCUUGAGGAGAAAUAACUAGGAGGUAGAUCAAAUUAUUAUUUAAAAUUGAAUGUACAAAACUUUGUAGUCAAUGCGGAAUUUUUCUCAUUUCAGACAUGAAUUUGACUUAAAAUCACCUUAAAUAAACAUAAUCAAUAUUCACUCUUUAUAUCUUGUUAUAUACAUUACUAUUUUAAUGUUUUUCCAUCCCUGGAGGUUUUCAAGGACGGUUGGAUGAGGCCCUGGGCAGCCUGUUCAAGUAUUAGAUAUGGAGAUUGGUGGCCCUGCCUGAGGCAGAGAGAUUGGAACUUCAUGAUCCUUGAGGUCCCAUUCAACCCAAGCCAUUCUGUGGUUCUAUAAUUCUAUGAUUUUUAGGAUUCAAAGCUUGCUUGGACUUCCACAUACCCUUUAUCCGUGAUGAAGGUCAAAUGACCCUCAGCAGGUCAUCAGAAAGGAAUCAUCAAGACAAGUGGAAGAUAUUUCACGCAGGAGUAACACUGCUUAAAAUGAUGCUCCGUUCUUUUUGCUGAAGUACAAUGAAGGUAAAACAGUGAAUCACUGAAGUCCAGGACAAGUGAAUUGCAACUUUGGAUUCUGAACAACCUAAUCUUAAUGUCAUUCAUCGAUCAUGAUAAGUAAUAUCUUGGUACUGUAUACAUCAGCAAAAUUUGUAGAUUACUACUUAUUACAGACAUUGAAAUGCCCAUUUUGAUACAUUUUUCAUAGGUAUAUACAUGCCUCUUGUGGAUUUUAUUUAUUCACACCUUCUGUCAGUGUAAUUGUGCCGUAGUUAAAGUACUUGUUUUUCCUUCAUUCUUAUCCAGCUCAAUAGAUCAUGAAGGUUAAAGUAACCUUAAGCUACGUUUUACAAUUCUUUCUAGUACAUAAUUAAACAUUAAAAAAAUCGACAUUUAAAAAGGUAGCAACAUUCAUUUUACUACUGGAACAGAUGCAACAUGAAUUUAUUUAGUUCUAAAGACUGCUCUUAUCGAUGCCUAAUUCAUUUCUUCACAAUGCAGAAAGAUAGAGAAGUACACUUUUCUCAAGGUUACAACCACCCUAAUUCGUUCCAGGUUUCUGACUUACAAGAAGUUACACUUGCACAUUCAGUGAUUGAUCACAAUUUGCCAGAACAAGAUAGAAUUCCCCAUCCAUUCCUCGAUUAUGAUUUUUAAAUGGAUUACAUAGUAUAAUCUGAUAUGUACAUACUGCUCUUACAUUUCAAGAGAAUCAAAUACAGGCACUUUAAAGACAUUAAAGUCUACAUCUUGGCUUAUACAAAUAACUUCUUCAAAUAUCAUGCUCCUCACACAUUAGAAGUGAAUUUUCUUCAAUUUAUUCCUUCAAUAAUUGUCUCUAGAAGUUAAGUGAAAUCCAAACUGAAAGCUCAUGAUUUAUAUGUUGUAUGUUGGCAUUGUUUGUCAGUAUCUGUUUCAGCGCCCUCACUGCCUCUGCUUUUAUGGUGCCAAACUUCAGCUUAACUUUUGUCCUGUGUAUUGGUGUUUCUGAAAAUAUUGCUAGAAUGAAAAACUGAGAUCAGUCACAAUGAGUCUACAUGCUAGAGGAUAGUCAGAGAUCUGUACUUAAGUUCCUUUUUUUACCAAUGCAUGUUUUAUGUUUGUAUGUAUUUCAUGGUGCAUUUCUCUGUUGUGCCUAUCAAUAGAGUACUUCAAACCGGGACUAUGUGUGCUGGUUGGGAUCACACCACUGAAUAACACUGGGUAAAGACUCCUCAAAGAAUACAAGAAUUGUCAGAAGAAGGAUGGUUUGAUGGAUGGAGUAUCAAAUCUAGAUGAGAGCAGAACUGGGAAGCAAGGGAAAAGAAAUCUUAUAGCAAGCGUUCAGGAAAGAACAUUAUUUAUCACAAUGAAAAGGAAAAUAGCUAUGAAAAAUGAGAUGAAAUUAGGAAAGAAAAAUGGUACUCUGCAACCAUUCUUGCUGUAGCUAAAGAUAUUUCAUUUUUUCCUAUUAUUAGUCAGGAACAGUCUAUGUUCAUUUUAAAUGUAUAAUUAUUUUUGUUAUAAUAGUUUUGUAUUUUAUUGCGUCAUCUCCUUUACAGAACACACAGAAUAUCAUAACAGGACUCUUCAGUGCCCUGGAUGAACAAUAUAUUUACAGGAUGGGAAAGUGUAGAUGUCUGCCUUUCCUCCUUUGAAUGGCACUACUGCCUGUGUACUGAAUAAGCAGGGCUGACGGGGUUCACAUUAAUAGACCUUCCUUUUAGAGAGAGUAGUUGUGUGUAUUUCUGAUAAACAAUUAAAGAAGCUGUUUGCCAAGUAUUUCACUGUGCAAUAAUAGAUAGUGAAGGUGGAAGGACUGGAAAAUGACAAAGUGUUUAUCAUGUAGUGAGAAAGCCUAUGUGGUUCAAGAGGAGGAAAUAAUUGCUCCUUUUCUUUCAGCAUUUAUUCAAGUCAAAUGCAUCAAUGGAUGUUGCUGUAAAAGAGAGGUGCCUGCUUUGUUUAGGUAGGACAGAGGAACCCAACAAUACUAUGGAGCAAAAUGAGAAAUAUUAAAUAUGAAAACACUAAUGAGCUCUGGGUUAGUGAAUUGUGUGCAGAACUGUAUUUACUGUCCAAUAGUUUUUUUUUGCAUUGAAUAUAUUGACUGCUUGUCUGUAUCUGGAACUUAACGUUUUCCAGAUGGUACUUAAUAUAUCCUUAUUUAUUCCUCCUCAUCCAACAUUUUGACUUGAAAUGGAAAAACAAGCCUGAUGAUCUCCAAGCUGAAGGUGUGGUGGGCCACUAUACUGCCUUGGCUGAUGUUCCUGUUAUUCUGAGUCCUUUUGUGGCUUUUGAAAAUCCAGAAUAAAGUUAAGUAAGCAAGAGACUUGACAGCCCACAUCAGAGCUGCCAACUCCAGCAAUGAACCAGAUUUAGAAGCUGUUAUAUGAAGAAUCUACAGGACAUGAGAUUUAAAUGGUUUCUCUGAAUAAGUACCUUCUUAACUAGGGUCCUUGAGGGCAUGGAGAGACCCUCGAUGACAGGGUGGGAUUGUUUUUUCUUCACUUCACCGUUGCAGGCAGACAGCUGGGAGGACCAAGGAAGAGCUCUUGUUCUUUUGCCUGCUUGGAGGAGAAAGUCAUUAAGUGGAUUAUCUCACCGGAUAAAGGUAUGAAGGUAAGAGGAAGAAUGGUCAGAAGCCCUCCCACUGCUGUGGUCCUUCUGGUGAUGCCCUCAGCCAUCGCAUGCAGGAUCCAUACAAAAGGCAAGUUGGUCCUGGAGAUGAUUUCAACUAGCUCGGGAUUUUCUACAGUUUUCAUUAAAGGUCUGAGUGCAGCGGGGUUUUGAUUUCCUUUUCUGCAGCCAUCUGUAAGACUUGUGAGAACAGCUGCUCCUAAUGCGGGUGCCAGCUCCUAGAUUUCCUGGGAGAGAAGCUAACGAGGUUUACAGAGGCCUGUUUUUUAGAUCAACCAAAGAUUGUCACCGGUUAUUGCUUUAUUAAACGGGUACUACAUUUAUUAAAAAUUAGUAGAUAAACACUUGGAACAGAGUAAUGCUUGAAACAUUGCUACGCAGAGGCUGAAAAUUGCCACAGGGAAGAAAGUGUAUUGGAAGAGUAUGUGAUGAAGAGAGUUUCUGAUCAUAUUUUUUAUAGCUUAUUCGUGAUUUUUUUAAUGGAAGAGAGAGCAGGGGCAAGCUGAAUACAGAAGAAUACCUAAAUACCAAUAACCAAGAGUAUUUGAAACUGGUCUAAAAUGAAUGGAAAGGAUGGACGUAUCAUGUUAAACCUAAUAUAGUCAUUCAGAUAAUGGGAAUACGUAUUUGGAGUUAGCUCAGGCAGGAUCUAAUGGACUUGUGUAUUUGAACCAUUUAACAAAUUUUAAAGUUAAAUUUCAAGUGUUGACUCAUUGCUUAAGAACAGAGCAGCCUCGUCGUGUGAAAAUGGCUUGGUUCAUCACCUGAUGUUCCUUACAAUCUUUUCAGAUUGCUAUCUAUAAAAUGAUGCUGAUUCUUUUGUCCUGGUUUGGUUUUAAAAGACAUUUUCAGGCAAAGUGCUUUGCUUUGUAAUGCUUCUUUUUAUUGACUUGUUUAUUCAUUAUUCUAUUUAUGUUCAUUUUCUUUUAUUCAGGCAAACUUUCUUAUGGCUCUCUCCAAUUUAGGUAUUAUACCUAUUUUCUUCCGGUUCCAAUGAUAGUUGUUAUUAGUGUUUCAGACCACCAGACAGUAAGUUAAGGUUAUAAAUUUCUGUAAGUACAGUACUCCAAACUACAGAGUUUAAAGAUGAAACAACAAUAACAACAAAAAGAUACUGUAACUUCAAAACUUGUCCAUGCUCAAGUAAUAUAAGAUAAUGGUUUACACAGCAAGCUUCUAGGCUGAUUGUCCCACAGUUAAGAGUCCCAGUUGCUUUCACCAUCAUCAGGCUCAGUUAUCGAAAUCUCAUUAACUCUAAUGGCAGUUCAAGUUUUCACUGCUGCAUGUUUAAGUAGUAACAACAAUAAAUUUGUCAAUGUACUAUCAGAAUAAUUCACUGAAUUGUUAUAUAAUUGUAUUAGUUUGAAUCAAAUGUACUGUACUAUAAAGAAUUCAUACAUAUUAAAAUUUGACAUUUAAUUUCUGUUGGUCUUAAGAUAAAUAUAUAGAUGAAGAACAUUCAUGAAUGUUCUGUCUAUUUUAAUCAAAAUUCUCAUCUAGCAUAGACAUAUAUUUCCAUGAUACCAUAGCUGAAAUACAAAUUGUAGAAAAGAAGGUAAUAAUCUUUCUGGGGGUUCAUAACCCAAUUACUUAUGUCUUGCAACUCUCAAGACCUCCCUAUUGAACUGCUUUGGUUUCCAUAGCAGAAACUGUGCAAAGCUGGAUGUCUGUAUCAAAAAACUUAUAUUUGGAUUAUAAGAUAGAUAUUGCAGGAAAAGUUUUUGUAUAUAUAUAUAUAUUUACCAUUUUCUUUGGCCAUUAAGGCUAAUUUUCUCUCAUCACUCACUCAUAAAAUUAUCUUAGAAAUAGUUGUAACAAAUCUGUAUUUGAUACUGAAGUUGCCCAGAGGCUUGGAAAUCAUGCAGUGGAGGCAGUUUCCCAAAAGAAAAGAAGCCUUUUUCAAAUAGAGCCUCAAAUAAAGGUCAGACAGUUUCAGAAAUAUUUUAGCUAUUAGUAGAGAUGUUUAAAAGCUUGAAAGAAAAAUCUGAACUGACACCCCCAGUUUUUGGCUGUACUACAGUACAUUUUAAGAUGGUCUCAGUUUCAUUAAUGGUGUGUUGGAUAGGAGGCUAGAAGAAAUGAUGCAGCCAAAUAAUUAAUCUACCUAUAAUCUUGAAUGUGAUAAGUUGAAUUUUUGGAAAAAAAUAGUUUCUGUGCCUAGGUAGGAAACUACCAGUAGAGCAUCUUGUGCCAUAUAAGUUCACUGGUUUUCAUAAUUUGUAAGGAAUUGAGCUGAGCACUAAUUACACAGGUGUGAAGAGCCCAAAUGUCUACUUUUCUACAGCUGGUGUUCUGUAAGACCAUUUUCUCCAGAGACAUGUGAAAUUAUGCUGUUCUUGAUGUUGAAUUAGAAGUCCUCCAGGGAUUAGACACAUUGUCUGAGAGUAAAUGAGAAGAUAGCAUGGGUUUCUUCUCCAAGAGCAAUAGUCUAAGACAAAUAGGCUGUCAAAGUUUGCUGGCUCAUGAUUGAGAAGAAUGAAUGUUUUAAGAAAUAAUAACUAAAAAGCAAUGCAAAUAAACAACUUCUUGAAAAAAAUCCUUUACCUGUAACUAGAAUUAGAUUUACUUCAAUGAGCCUGAACAGCUUCUUUUGUUGUUAAUACCUACCAACUAAUUUAGUUGCUAAUACCUGUUAAUUCCAUUUUUAUCAGCACAGAAGAAAACCCAAAGCCCAUAACAAAAACACUGCCCAUAGCCACAUAAAUUCCCUUAUUAUCCAUUUCAAACUGGUUACAUAAAACUUCAAACACAAUGGAUAUUAGUAUGAAAUAAGAAAUCUACGUGACAGUCCAGAAGGAUUUCAACUGCCCAGUGCUCAGCUGCUCUCAGUCAAACAAAUGUUUUGGACCUCAAAAACAAACACUGGAGAUGGAAAUUGAAUGGCAAUGGAAAUCUGUGGCAGGCAGGAAUGACUGGUUAAACCUCUGACUACAAAGGAAAGCCAUAGGCAUGGAGGUACCUGCACAGCUUGGGCUUACUCUUUAGUGCAAAGUACUCAGUGCCCUAAUGGCAGAGGAAAUGGAGGAUAUUGUUUGCAGUGGGCUUCUGACAUGUGGCCAGGUGAUGGGAUGCUUGCAUGCUAGUGGCUUGGAUUAAGAUAAUUGGGCAAAAAAAAUUUAAUUACCUCAUGAAGGCAGUAGAGAGCUCUAUAUCCACAUCACAUUCUGCAAUUACAGAACUAUUUUCUCUGCCUUUUCAAAGUCACUAUAGAGCCAAGCCUAUUACAUCAGCAGCUUAUUUGUCAGCUUUCUUCUGUUUCUCAAAGUAAGGCAUCCUCCUAAUAUGAAUCUUCGAUAGAAGUGAACAGAUCACAAAACUCCCAUAAUUUCAUUGCGUUCCAAUAGCUCUUUUAUUUUGAGAAAAGACUGAAGCCUUUAUGUGGUGUGACAUGGAAAGGUUCCUCUGAACAAGAUUCGGCUGACUUUCUUAUGAAUAGUUACAGAUUUGUUUCACACUUUAUGUAUUCAUUUUGUCAAUUUGCUUUAUCGUGUUGCAAGAAAAUGCUAUCACCUGCCAAAAGCAUGCAUCUGGGAGUGUUUUCAGAUGAUUUAAUGUUAUCUUUUUUUCUAUUAUUGUUUGCUACUGCCAGGCAUUAUAAGCAAAACUGGCUCUAUUCACAGGUACUGACAAUAUUCUCUAUCCACGUGCACUCAGUUUUAGGAUUAUGAAGGCAUGGUAUUAUCACGUCCUAGAUUUAGCUGUGUUUCACAGUCCUUGCAUAAAUUCCUUUGGCAUUUCCAAAGCUGGGCAAGCUCCACUCUUCUCAAACUGAGAUGAAACAGGACCUUGGCCAGGUUUGAGCUUCUUGAGCUGCUUCUUGCAGCAGAACACCAAAUGUACUCUUGCAAAGGUGAUUAGGUGGAAAGAAUAAUUUCCAAAAUACACUGUGAUUUUUGUACAGGAAGACUUCAGAUUAGUACAACUGCUGAGCUACAGAGAUUAACAAGGCUGUGGAUAUAAACCUGCACAUUGAUGGCAGGCAAACAGCAGUAUUUUGGCUGAAAUUACUUUUCUCAAUUAUUUUUUUUUUUUCUGUAGGUGAUUCCACGGUAAUAUAUUCUGUGCUAGUUUCUGGCAGGAAACAAUAGAUGCAAUGUGGGAGCUUAAAGAAGAGAGAUGCUGGGAAGACAUCAUACCUUUUCUGACUGUUCCAUAUCACAUCACUCUGUUUGGAGAUACUGUGUUUCAUCUCCUACAAAGUAAAUUGCUGGCUGACAGCUGGAACCACCUCUACUAUAAAUUAUUGCACUCACAAGCAAGUUGGAUAUCUACCAUAGGAUCAUCAAACACAGAGGAGUUUGUGUUUACACUGCUGUAACCAAGCUGGGGGCUGGUUUCCAGAAUUACAGAGUCUUACAUAAAACAAAAUUUUCUCUUCAUUAAGUUCCAUGUUGACUGUCACAAAUCCUCCCUAUGAAUCCUUUCUAAUUCGUAUUUUGUGAGGGCGGGCUAGGACCCACAAAAAACAUUUACCCUAAUUCAUCUGCUGCGUUGUAAGGCUUUUAUUAGGCUUCACAAAUUUGAAUACUUUCAUCUGCGUUGUCAAGCUUCAUUCCCCACUGGUAUUUUUCCCUACAAAAUGUUGGUGAUGAAUAUUCACAAACCCCGGUGAGAGCUGUGCCAAAGACAUAGCUCAAAACAAUACAGCUGUAGCCAGAAAGCUGUACAGUGGGUGAACUGUUCUCAAUUCCUAUGCAUGUCUUCCAUCUCAAACCUUCAUCCUAUUUAAGUGCCUCAGGAAGAGAUAGCAAAGAAUCUCUUUCUCUUUUUUUUUUCUGGAAAUCAAAUACAGAGGACUUGAAAGAGAAAAAGUUAAGUAUUGUAAGCAAUCCAGAAGGAGCAAACCAGGACCCACUUAUGAAUCUCCUCCCGUAAGGAUGGCUGAAAACCUCUAACUUGUAAGAAAACUGUGAAUGUCUGAAAAGUCUUCUGAUGUGAUACAUGUUGUGUCUAAUUUAGGUGCCUUCUGAUAGGGCUGACUGCAUGUGGAAAUAGGAGAAAGAGUAACUGGAUAAUAUUCUACUGCUAGAAGAGGCUGAGGCUGAUCUUCUUCUGCUUGAAGAUUGAUAUGUGUAGGACCUGUGUGGUCAAAACACCAUUAAAAUCAUAGUAAACAAAUAAUAAAUACAUGUUUGGGUCCCUUACCUGCAACAAGGUGAGUGAGAGGAUGAAAUUUAUGCUAAUUCUUGCAACAUUGCCUUUAAUUAUUGUGAGCCAAUGUCAUCCAUAGUAUAAUCAAAGUUAAAAUUGUGUUAGAAAUUGCUUGCCACUUUUUACUUCUCUGUAUGUAUGAGUCUAUACAACAGAAUUCUCAUAAUACCUUAGAGGGAAAAAAAAAGCCAUCAGACAAGAAAUAAACGUGUCUUCCUCUUUCAUCUAAAUUUAACUAGAAAAGCAGUCUCAAAAAAAUUAGACGUGCUGAACUAUCCAUAGGAGAUUCCAAUCCAUUAUUAGCCUACUCACCCUGUUACUUAUCUUCAAACGCACACACCACCAACAGAAAGGAUUUAGGUUACAUUUAAGUAAUCCAAAUCUUGUAGGUAGUGGGUUUUAGUGAAACUGGAGCACUUGUUACUAUAAUUUAACUACAAAAAAACAGCAUUUAGUGAAGUAAGAGGUCUGACUUUAAUGCACAAAAGCAGGGAGUUUUGUGGCAGUAUCAGUAAGGCUGAAGUGUCAGUCUGGAUUUUCAGCCUUAAGUCUGAAUUUCCUUGGUUUUGUGGAUUUGUCAGAUGUUUAACAGAGCUUAAAUGUAAACUUUCUUCUUGACGACAUUCAAACCUCCACAAUACAGCCCUUUUAAAGAAGAGAAAAAAAAACUCUCACACAAACCAGGCAGAAUGACUAAAAUGGUGGGAUAUGUGAGGAACAGUUCAUUGUCCUGUGUGCUCCAAAGGGAUUUCACUUCUCUGUGCCUCAGUUUCCCAAACAAGAACCUGAAGAUCACAUUUACAGAUCUUGGAAAUGUCCUCAAUAAUGAGUCACUGUAAUAUUUGUGAAGUGGAUUAGCAUGCUUGAACGCAGAGUGUUAUGGAACAUUUCAGAUGGGAUUUUAAUUGCCAGUGACCAGGGAGGACCUCAACACAGAGUAUGUGUCAGCACAGUUCAUCCCUUCAGAGCAUCUUCAAUUAAAGUUGCUCAAGGAUAGGAGCUCUCAGAUUAUCAUUCUUGCCAGCCUGUUAAAGACUGAUAAAGGAAAAGGAGGACUGCACUUCUGCAAAAUGAAUAUUGGAUUAGAGGGAGCAUGUCUUGUUUUGUGUGUAUUGCACAAAUUGCAAUUUUCCAGAUUUUCCAGAUAGUCCAAAUUGUUUGCAAUACAAUUUCCUUUAUAAAGUGCACUAUAUAGAAGGAGGAAACAUCACUACAUGGAACAGAAAUGUGUUCUGGAAUGCCACAAAACCAUACUGUGAGCUGAAAAUGAAUUCAACAAUUACUGGGCUACAGCACACUUUUACAUUUAUGGCUUUGGAUGGGAGCUCAGAGUUAUCAUUUGUGCACGUUCUCUUGACAGCGUGCCAUGAGCUGCUCAGCCACUGAUUAACAGAGGUUACUGUGAGAGUCCUACCAAUUAAUAAAAAUAAAAAUCAAAAUUCAGUGGUCCAGCUGUCAUAGAUGGAGCUGCAUUUCUGAUGGCACAUUCAUUAGUAAAAGUGCUCUCAGUUACUACUUUCUAUGUUACAUCACGCUUGCUUGCUGAGAUAGAUUAUGAAGACAAAGUUCACUCGUUGGUGGAAUAAGUUACUCUAAUUUGAAUUUGAAAUGGAUGACAUCCCAUUAUUUAGCUUAAUCUAAAUUCAGAAAAAUAUGCAAUUAAAAGUGCUACAUUACCUAUACAAUUUAAAUCCUGAGCUGCCUGUAAAUAUCUAGCUCUGCGAGGUAAUAUUUGGAUCAUGUAUGAAAAUAUAAGAAAUAACCACUGAGGGCGACUAGACAGUAAAUGAUACAGAGGAUAUUAAAAAGAAUGAGAAAGUAUUUUAUUCCGGUGGAAAUCUAAUAAACAAGUACCAAGAAGGAGUAUGUCUAAUGAGAACUGAUGUAGGCGUUGAAAUACAUCACUGAUUCACUCACAUGCGAAACUUUACUUAUUUAUCAUAGUUUAUCAGAAAAGCUAUAGAGAGGAAGUCCCAAGGCACUGGCAAGGUAAUGAUGCUCUGUGAGAUGUGGAACCCCUGCAUGUUCUCAUGAGCAGUGCUGCUUCAUACAGGUGUGCCAGCAGUGCCUGACCAUCUGGGGCAAGACAAUGACUUGUGUUAUGAAUACUUCUUUGGGAAGUUCUUGGCAGAUUUAUUUCCUGCAACCAGACCUAGUCCUUCAGUUCAGGAGAUUAUUGCUUGCCCGAAGCUCAAGAGUUACAUUAAUUAUUCAGUGUUAACCAUUUGUGGACAAAAUCUUUACUUCCUUGUUCAUAUUUUUUAUACCUAAUGACAGAGUAAUGCUCUUUGGUGCUAAUAAAUGCAUGGAUUUUCUCCUGCAUUGUUCACUAUGAUGAAUGACAGACACUGUCAUUCUUUAUACUUUCAUUUCCAGAUAAAGCAUAUUUAUGAUUAUCUUUGAGCAGGUAGAAGCUUGUGUGCACAUUCUGCGUCCUGACACAACAUAAUGGUUAAACGCUUCAUGGACCUUUAAGACCUGUUACUUGGUGCAUAGCUGGAUAUGCAAGAGUUGGCUCAGUGGAUGCUAAUUUGAAAUCACUGCUCUCAAUUUUAUAACAGUAAGCAGUCAGCUAAUCUCACAAACAUCAGCCUUUGCAGAAGUCUUCCAUAUAUUUCCACCGCAAACUAGGAGUUUAAUAAGCAAUUAGUUGCUGAAAUGAUGCAUAGCUAUCUGUGGUCACCAUUUAAAGACAUUGCAACAAAGUCAAUUCAGAAGAAGAAAGUUGAGCUGGUGAAUAUUUCUAAGUGAAGAAAAAAAAAAACUUGAGCUACUUGUUGGAAAGGACAGCAACACAGCACACUCCCAUGAUGUCCUUGAGGAGUGGUGAUGGGAAACAAUAAAAAGACAAACACCAGCAGCAUUUUGUUCUGCAGAGGCUGGUAUGAAGUUAAUCAAAGCUUCCCAAAGACUUAUGUCCAAGGUGGCAGUUUCUCUUUGCAGUCGAGGCGCCAGAUCCCAACAUGCCAGAGGUUGUGCUGAAAAUCAGGACUUGGGGCUCUUCCUUUGCUGAGAAGAUAAAGUGGCAACUCUUGUGAAAUCCCACCCCUGCUUCACCAGCUGAAUGAAGUCCAAAAACUUGAUGCUUCAAACAUUUCACAGAGAUGGAAAAAAUACGAGAGCCAAAAAGAUUGUUAAAAAGAAUCCACAGUGAGGAAGACGGGAAUGCUAUCUGUGGUUCUCAUAUGAGGAAGAGCAAGAACAGAUGCAUUUUUUCCGCACACUCGGAACCUCAACUUGCAAGAAGUAGUGAAGGUUUGUGUAGAACUGGGGAUGACAACUGAACGCAAGUAGUCACCAGCAAAACACAGAAAACAUGACUGUUGGUGCCACAGCUUUGCCAGCUGGUAAGGGACUUUUCCAUGUCUCCACCUUGGAGAGAAGAGUGUGGUGUGCUCUGAUUUGAAUGAAGAAACAGGAUCAUUGUGGUCUGUUUUCCCCAUCCUUUGAGCCAUCCCAAUGCAGGAACCAAGAGAAGAAAUCUCAUUCUUUCUCUUCUGCCCUUGAAAAAGGAAUAGGUAAAAUUGGACUGUAGUCUUAGAAAAUCAAACCUCGCCUUGUGGAUGAAUCACUGCCAUUGAUGCUGGGAGAAGGGAAUGAAUAUCCCUCAAACAAAGGAUUUUAUAGGAUGCUAAUAUACAGGAUAGAGGAUAUGCCAAAAAUCUGUGUGGGUCAAAAAGUGACUGGAAGGAAGAAAAGAAUCCACCAAAGAAAAUCCUUAGAGGAAAAUUCUGUCACAUAGAAAGAUUUCACCUCAGCUUCAGCGGAUCCUUGAACCACAAAUAGCUGCAGGCUGGGAAAGUAUUCUGGGGAAUAUGGUUGUGUUCUGUAAAUAUUGGCUGUGGGCAAUGUUGAAGGACGUGAGACUACGUGCAUGUUCAUUUUGAGCUGGACCAGCCAUUCUUGUGUAUCUGUUAUUUGUGUGUUUUCAAAAAGAAAAAAAAAAGAAAAAAAAAGAAAAGCUCUCUGAGAGACACUUCUCUCUUUCUAUUUUUUGUUAUUCCAAUCCAGUCUGUUUUCGGGGCCAGGGAGGGAGACACUGGAGGAUCUCAGUGCCCCUAGGCAGAUGGCGAAUGAGGGAGAAGUGCCUGCGGGGCUGAGGCUGGCGGCGUCUCUUUCAGACCAACAUGCCUUGGUCCCCCUGCAGCUGGGAAGAGCACAGAGCUUGUUAGUAAGGUACAGGUGUCAGCAGAUAAUGAACAGGAUUGUUGUAAAAAAACAAAACAAACAAAAAAACAUGGAAUAAGAAACAAUUUAUUUAUGAUGUAUUGACAAGGAUAUGGAAAAAAUCCCAAGAGACCAUAACAGGAAGACACAAUAUCAUGGCUAAUAACAUGCUAAAUAAAUUUUAUUUUAUGAUGAAACCUCCCUAUGACUGGAAAGGUUGACGUUCAAAACAAUUGUGACCUGUGUGCAGCACAUGUAGCAACAGGCAUGGCUCCUGCCUUCUCGCGGUGGGGCUGUCCAAGAAGCACAACGAUGCCUUUGGGAAAUACAGCUGCAGGCAUGAGCUGUGUUUUCCCCAGUAGAUCAAUUUUUCUAACUUUAGAACAAUGAAAGAGGCAUAACAUAUUAUAAAUUGAAAUUACCCUGCAUGGUUUUAACUGUGCAGUUGGCAAAGGUCAUUAAGUAAUGUCAUUCCCAGCCAUACGCCACAGGGAGCAAUCUAUCAUAUAUUAUCUAGCAUUCUGAUGGAAGUAAAAAAUGAUUAAUUUUUACCAUCUCAUGUAUAAUUUACUUAUUAAUGUUCCUUGCGAGACAAUCUGGUCUUGAUUAUUUGGCUAAUGCAUACUGAAUCUGAGCUUUGUAUUUUUCUUUGAAGAGAUUAGGGCAGUUAUUGUUUUUUUUUGCGAACCAUGGACAUUUGAGAUCCAGAGUAAUAAAGUAGGUAUUGAAUAGCAUUCAAUAGAAGAGAAAGAAAAAUAUAAUGCUGAAAUGGAUCAUGACUGUUCAGGAUGCUUAUGAGAUUCUCACACAUCCCAUCCCAAAGUGCAAAAGUAUCCAUUCACCAAAGCCUAAACUGAGAUGUCUUUAGCUUUAUUUUACUUUCUCUAGUUUUUGUUCAAGCUCUAAAAAACAUUUCAUUUUAUACUUGAAUAUAAGCAUGGUUUAGUCAGAUUACUUGAGUUUUCAUCAAAACAAGCAUGUAAUAAAUUAGGACUUUUUCAUUUUAAAACCUGAAAUGCAUCCUGGUUGAUAUGAGGACAAGGACUGUGUGGUUGCUGAAGUAUGUUGUCAGUUUUUGGCCUUCAAGGGCUAAAUCAUGUUUUGAGAUAAAUGAUGCUCUUCAAAGUAAUCCAUAUUGAGUACUGUGAGUUCUACAUAGUUUUAGUUAGAGUUCAUUUAUAAUAAUAAGAAGCACCUUAAAUUUAAUAUUAAUUUUUUUUAGCUGUUGUUCAUAAGGCAGCUUUAAAAUAUAAAAUACCUUAUUUUAUAUUUGUAUUGUAAUAAAAGCCACUGAAAGACUAGGAGAAGACACACAUCUGUAAAUGAUUAUAUGAUCUGGCAUCAAUACCUCUCAGAAUUUGUCUUGUGCUGUUUCAUAUUUUGAACUUUCACUUUGCAAUUACACUGUCCCUCUGUCAGGCCUGGCAGAUCAUGCUUCAUGUGCAUGAGGUUUAACUCUGACUUCCACUUCAAGGAUACUAAGUUAUUUUUUGUUUCUUUAGCAUUUUACCCAUACCUGAUUUCACUAAUGGCUUAAAAAAAAAAAAAAAAAAAAAAAAGUUUCUGCUUUUUUUUUUUUUUUUCCCUGAUAAAAAGGUCUAGAUCUGUAUCAGUAAAAACAUAUUUACAUAGUUAUGCUGAAUAAUCAGUAGCGUCAGCCUCUUUGGAAAAGAAUCAAAAUGAUGUCUUUCCAAAUGACACAGAUCAGCAAUGCUUCAAAAGAAGAAUUUGUUGAAUUUCUACCAGGAAGUUUUCUCAUGUCUCUCCCACUCCUUAAAUCAAAUAUUACACAGCACCAAAGUAUGUCAGCCCCAGCAGUCCCGUAAGAUGAAAUGAAAAGCGUAGUUAUCUGCAGAACCUUCAAAACACAUGAAAAAGAAUUCAUGGUUGAGGUUGUUCAAAGGAGGCUAAAGGAGAGGAGGUGGAAGCAGUUGGGUGCAUCCUGCCCUGAAAAUCCUCAUCUACAGGUUGCAGUACUUUUGAUAAUGAUAUUACUCUAUCUUCAGGAGCAGAUUAAUUAUGUGCAGUUCCCAAAAAGAUUUCUUGUACUUACUUUUUUACUGCAUCCGAAGUGGAGAACUGACUGGAGACCCCACGGCCAUCUGAUUUCACCAGUAUGCAAAGAAUAUUUUGUACCAUGAAUAGUGUUUAUCUUAGAAAAAGAAUGAUCUACAUAAGGGAAUGUUGAUUUUCUUAGAGCUGCUAUCAAUUUUUUAAUUUAAAAUAAUACUUCUCUUCAAUUUUUAUUGAUAACUGUCAUCAACUGCAUAUGCAGAAUGGGUCAGGUUGUGUAGAUUUUGAAAAAUUUUACUAAGUGUGAAAAGUUUUGUGGUUUUUUUUUUUUCUGUGGCCUAACACUGUACUCUCCAGCUCAUUAUCUGAUCUCCUGUUGUCAAAGCCAAAGAAUAUCCCAUCAGCCAUUUUUCAUUGCUCCAACACAUCUACAUUUUCAUGUUCUUUCUUCCCAUUAAUGCUUUUUUGUUGUUGUUGUUGUUUUUUUUCCCAAAGAUAUGAUAUUCUCACACACUUGAAGUUCAGUCUCAUUCACAUUUUUAAUGUCUCUGAUUUUCUUCUUAUUUUAUUUCUGAUCAUCUGGUUUCACUGGUGGUGUUCACUGCUCACUCCUUUCCCCCAUAUCAUUAAUGAUGAUACUACAACUGGAAAUAAUUUAGCACUCUCAUGCACUUGUAGUUGUGUUUGUGAUACAUAUGUAGGUGAUAUUUACUUCUCAUUGGAGCUUCUUCAGUAGGAGCUGUGACACCAACACCAGUAAGUGUUGGCUUAAGUCUGACCCAUAAAUUAUCUGUUUCCACUUCUUUUAGAAGUAUGUUUUUACAUUGGCUUGUGGGCAAAGUAAAAGCCAACGAAACAGCACUCCUUUGUCUGCCUACCUCUGUCUUUCACAUGUAGACACAGCCCUUUUCUGACUGACAUAUGUGAGCAGGUGAUGGAGACAAGAGGCAGACUGUAGAGACGGUUGUAACUUUAUACUCUAUUUAUCCUACUUCUAUUCUCUCUUAGCUAGGUCCAGCAUGAAGCUCCAAAACUUCUAAACCCUGCAGAUAGAUGGUCUUCAGAAUAUGCAGUGGAGUUUAUCCAGUUUAACUCAGCCCAGCUGAUGCCAGCAGGUGGAGUUUCGCUGUGAGGUUUGUAAAGGCCAAUGCCAUCUUAAAGUAGACUGUCUAUGAAACGGUACUGAAUGAAGAUACAAAUGUUUAUUUCCAGUUUGUGCUGGUAUAAUUUAUCCUUCGGUGCCACAGCUGCACCAUUCCCACUGGUCACUGAGGUCCUAACCAGUGCACUGCUGUGUGCAUGAAGUCCUGCUCUUAUCUGCUCAGUCUGGUAACUGAAAGUGCAAAGUGGCAAUUAGGUUCACCAUUAGCCCAUCAGCAAGUGCACAUUCAGGAUCAGAUCUACGUUUUGCAUGCCCAAGGCUGAGAGGUGCCAAUGGCUCUCCGUUACUGCUGGACAAGCAGUUAUGAAAAGUUGGCAUCCACAUAGAUCCGUGGCCGUGACAUGAGGAAACCUCCGCCACUUUGGCAAACAGCAUGCAAGUCCAGCAUAGGCCAUGGACCUUGUACAAUUGGGCUUUUAUCCCUGCUAAACUCUUAUUCUUCAGGUGGAUAAUUGUAUUGUCCUCAUCGGGAUUGUAACGGGGCUACCAGAUGAAUAUCCAGCUGCUUCCAUCCCUUUGAAGGAACAGUACACAAACCUGCAGCCUUAGCUCCCACCCUUACUACGGAAGGGGCUCAGCAUUCAGUCUGUAGGCAUAGCAGCAGAUUGGCAAGGUGACAUAACAACUAUUUGCAAGUCUACGUGCUGUCUGAAGUUACCAAAGUAAAUUGCACAGCAGUCUGCUUGGUAGUCCCUAAGAAGAUAAAGUGGUCAGUGCUGCUCUGCUUUGAAAAUAUCAGCCCUGCUUUGUGCAGAAUAUUGCAGACUGGCUGAAAUGUUGCCCAAGCAACAUCCACUCUUCAGCUGUACUUCUCACAGUGGCUUAAGCUGAAGAAGGAACAAGACCCAAGGAAGUGUUUGGAAAUCUCUCUUGCAUCCUCCCAGUCUGAGACCAACCAGAGCAGCUCCUGUUUGCAUUGGAUUUGUACAUCGUUGUCAUUGGAAGAAGAAACAUUCCAGUGUGAGAGGGAUCCUCAGCUGGCAAAGCUGUAUCUAGCAGAGGGCUUUGAACAAGCCCCGUGCAACUGAGAAAGAUGUUGGCUGAAAUGAACUGGAGGUCUUCCUCUUUAAUAUGGAUGUUAUGCUUGGUGCCAUGCAGACAGCGCUGGCAGGAGGACGAUUUCAGUCUCUGCUACAUCAAUAAAAACAAGGGGUUGUUUAAACUUGGUGUUGACACAAAUAAAAUAAAAACUGAGCUGUUAUUUGGUGUCUUCGUGUACUUUGAUGGUGGUUCAAGGGGGUAAGGAAGCUGCUGGCAGCAGGGGCAGGCAUCAAAACCAACACAACACACUGCAGUAUCAAUGCUUGAAAAGGAUAAAUAGACACCAGGAGGGCAGGGGCCAACCUCACGGCCCGUGAGGCGCUGAACCGUGCUGAGGCACUUUAAGACCUGCAGUGCCCCACCCCAACUGUUAAUGAGCUCAUUAACAGCCACUGCCCCUCUCUCCCUCAUAUCCAGCUCGGGGCAGUGGGGUUCAGAGUGAGGAGGGAUCACUUCGCUGUGAAGAGCUGUGUGGACGGGAGUCUGCCCAGGAGCCCAGGGAUGAAGGAAAUCUUGGACAUCUUUUGUUGUGUCACCACUUGUUAUCUGCUGCUAGCUGGUGUCGGGGGACUGAAAGACAAGAUAACUGACAUGCAGAUUUGAUGAUGAAAACUUGUUGAUGUACUGCAGCAAUAUUUGAGGCUAAAAACACAGAUGCUGAAGGAAUCUCUCUUGUGUGCACUACCUAGUUGUCAUCAUGGUGUUUAGAAAUCAUUUGCAGAAUGUUCUUGGAAACAUUCAAGGUCAGGCUGGACCAAGGUCUUUUCCCCCCCGUUCUUCCCUUGUGAGACCCCACCUGCAGUACUAUGUUCAGUUCUGGGACCCUCAGCAGAAGAAAGAUGCAGAGGUGAUGGAAGUGGUACAGAGGAAGACCACAAAGAUUCAGUUCUGGUACUUAUGAAGUUUAGAAUUGUGUGAGUGUGCCAUCAGUUAACCAUAACAUGACAAUGCCUGAAACCUUUGGGAACAUGUGCUUGUUGAUUAUAGAUGUAAUCAGUGCCACAAAAUAACUUGCUCUCAAUAUUUUCUGUCAGUAUCAGUUACUGCAAUUAUUCUUCGUGGAUUAAAAAUGCUUGAUAUAACUUUGGGAAAUGCUAAGGAUCUGGAGAAAAUAAUCUGCUUGAAGAUUAUGUUAUGUUAGCUCUAGCUCUGCUUUAAUGCUUAAUAUUAUAAAAGAGAAGAGGACCAUUAACUUCAGAGGAAUUCUUCAUAGUACUUGACAUGUGGAGGAGAGGUGAAAGUCUGUGAAUAAUUGCAGUCAGCAGUGAUGUGCCUGUCCUUUCACUCUUAUUGACAAGAGAGGAUUUGAGGGACACUUCUAUUAUCUGCAACUCCAACUAUUCUAAAGGAACUGCCAUAUAUUUUCCCAGAAUCUCUCCAGUAUGUCUCCACUUGCCGUAGUUAUCGUUAAGGCUUCAGUACUGGGAGUGAGAGCCACCAAGCUCCAGGUGGGAUGUAUUGAAAGCUUGCAUGCAGCUGAAGAGGCUGUGAUAGCCAAUGUGGCUGUGACCUCUGCCCUUGCCAAGUGAUUGCCUUGGUCACCACUCAGAUGGACUGGGGUCUCCUGAGAUCCUGGGCACUGCUCACGCUCCAGUCCUGUGGAAAAGGGGCUGGGUGGUGAACCUGAAGCAUCAAAGGGAAGCUGUAGGCUCAUGAUCAGGAAUAGCUCUGUAAUAAUUGAAAUAACACCACAGCGUUCUACAUUUCAUUUUUUUUGCUCUUCAAAUGUAGCCACUUAUUAGAUUGAAAGAGUUACUUCAGUAAAACCAGCCCUGCUAACUCAUGCUUAGAUCUUUAGCUCACACUUGGAUCUGAAAGUCAAAGAGUUUUCUUUCUGGUGCCCUGUCAUCAGUAAUAAAUGUUUUGCAACUCCUAACUUGCACCUUUCAUGGCCUCAUUGCCUUCAGUGGGUUGAUCAGAUAUAAUUAAUUCACUUUGGAGUUGUUUAAUGAUGCAUAAAAAGGAAUAGAUUCUAGUUCAAUCUCAUAACUGCUUUGCCUCUGAAAUCUAACAGGAUUAAAGCACCAUUAAAAAAAUCCAAGUCAUUCUGUGAGCAGUGAAACUAAUGAAGCCAGGAUUCCUAUGGAUUUGUGUCUCUUGGUUGAUUGACUAUUUAACUGAUUUAUAUGAAGAUUAUGUUAUCUCUGCAUAUACCUAUAAUCCCUUCCUGUAGAAUAUUUUGGCAGUGACACUCUGGUUGCUACAGAAAUUCCCUAGUGGGAUCAGUAGUUAGUAGGAUAAAAUUGUUCAAAACCUUUCUCUUUUUCCUAAACCCCUACUUUUGUAAAAUCGGAACAAUUUAAUUCUUUCUUUGUACCUUUUGCUGCUAAGUUUUACUGGGGAAAAGCACAGGUAACCAUACGCUUGAUAACAAGAAAAAAAAAAAAAGAAACAGACCAAAAAAGUAAAAAAAAGUGUGUAUCCUUCAAUAUAAUCUACAGAAAAGUGAGAAUAAUGAGAAGCAAUCCAGAGACAUCUCACAGAGCAAUCUUGAAAAGAACCAAAAGGAUGACAGUAUUAGGAAGGAAAUGCUUAUGACUAAGACAAAGAACACUGUGCUAAGUCAGAUCAAGGAACUGGACUACAAACCCACAUUUUUACUUUUACAAACUCUGUUAUUUUACAAACCUUUGGGAAAUAGUUCUGUUCAAAUGGAAGUGGAAGCUUUGAGUUUGCACCAUGCAUGCACUGAAUAGCCAACAGGUGUGGGCUUCCUCUCUGAGCUGUCUAUAGUAGGACAUUUUUAGGAAAUACUGAUUAGAUCUUUGUUCAACUAUCAGAUUUAUUUGAAAUUGGCCCACAGGUUCCACAGCCAUUACCAGAACAUUUUCACAAGGUCUGUUUAUCAAAGGAGGAGGGUACAUCGGCUCCCAGUCCCUCACCUUGCAGGUCUGCAGAAGUGACUGUGCCCAGAGGAGUGAGUUGGUACUCACCUUUGGUGGCAGCUGCACAGGUGAAGCAAUAAGAGCCUUCCACCUAAAAAAUAAUUAAAUUCAGAAUACUAUUUGUUAGUUUUCAAAGUCCAAACUCUUAAAAUAAGGCAGAGGCUUAUAGGAAUCAUUAGAAAUACAUGAACUAUUUAGUCAUCCUGAUUCACUUGGCAAUGGUGAACCUUCAUCUGUGAGGCUAUGCCUAUGUGGGAAUAGAGCUAGCAUUUAUUUCCAUAUGAAACUUCAGAAAUGCUUCCUUUCUCUAUGACCUUGGUCUCAUUCUCUAGACUUCAUUUGUUAUCCAAACCAUACCUAGCUGCCACUGCUUCAGUGUUUGAAAAUUCUUAUUUUAAAUAACUGUGCUCUUUUCUACAACUGAGAUAUUUUUAAAAAGGAAUGAUUUUCAAUAACUUCUCAUAGACACCUAUUUAGUUAGAAAAUUAGGUUUAGAAUUUGCAGAAUUGCAUAUAUUUCAAAAGGGUUUCUUACCAAAAUCCGUAGGCCCCAGAAAAUACACCAAUGCACCUGCCUGCGUGUUUACCCAGGAUGAUAGAAACUCUAUUAUUUGCAGUUUUACCAGCUGUAGGGAAUGGCAAGGGCAGACAACCAGUUCUGAAUUAGACCUCCCCCCCCAAAAAGGGCAACGGUCACAAUCCAGCUAAAGAAUGAAGAAUUUACUCACCCAUCCCAAACGAUAAGGGCUUGACAAAUACUCUAAAAGGAAGAGUCUCCAGGUAGAGGCCCCUUCCUUGGGGCAGCCAGCCCUCAAAUGAGGCUUAGAGAGGGCUGGAACCUGGUUCUACCUCUUCUAGUCACGCAGAUGAAUUGCUUUCACCUGUGCUCCCAGGGCGGGCUGUGUCCCUUGACCAGGUGCUCAAUUAUUGGCUCAGGCCAUGACUUAGCAAUUCCCAUACACCAUCUGUAAGAGUAAUGCAUGUAUAAUUCGAGAAUGUAAUAAAUCAUACUUUAAAUGUCACUUAUUGCUCGUUAAGUUUUAGAAACCUUAAGCUACGGUAGUUCAAAAAUUCUCAAGGCAUUAUAAUUAUUGAAAACCAAGAACCAGGAAAACCAGGGAAAAAUCCAGUGCCGGGGCAUUCCAUUAAUCUACUCAGUUUCUCACAAUCAAGAACAUGAAAAGAAUUAAUGCGUAUGUGUUCAUUAUGGCCUGUGUAAAUACUUUAUUUUGUCUGUGUUAAAAAAUCUUAUCCUUUUUAAAAUAUAUUUUUGGAAUUCUAUAGCUAGUCUUAAAUGACACUUCUUCAAAUUUAAUAAUUCAAAUCCUUGCAUAUUCCAUGACUCAAUAUAAGAGACUUUCCAAAUGAAAACUUAACUAGAAAAUGAAUCAUAUCAGAAUAAUGUACUUUAUCAUGUAUAUUCUGGAUAUUGCAGUUUCAUUGCAGUUACAGCAGUCCGUAUAUUUGAGCUGUUUACAUCCAACUGAUGUAAUUUGGAGAACAUUUUUGCAAUUGCAGCUGAGACUAGAACAGGCAGCACGUGCUAAGUUCAGAAUCAUUCUUCCAUUUUCCUACUUCUGAUUCUUCAUAUAGGAGAUCUUUAGAUUGCAUUAAUGUGUCUUUUGUUCAACUAGAGGAAAAUUCAUUACAGUAUAAUUCAGUAAAAAUGGGUAAUUUUAAUCAACUCGGUCUAUUUCUCCUAGGCUACUAUAUUAUGAAUCAAUAGCAGUAAAUCCAUAGUUAAGACUCACAAGCCAUUGAGUAAGGAUUCAAUGACUUCUCUGUUUCAGGGUCUUGCAGAAAAUUAUGGAGAAUAAGUAAUUAAAGUUUAAUGUCUGACAUUCUUCUAGUCAAAAGAUGUUUUGUAUUUCUUUCAAAAAUCUGCAAUUAAAAAAUGCCAUAUAGAGCUUGUGACUAUAAAUGUUCAGCUAAUCCAUUUAUUUAUCCCUCCCUCAUUAUUUCUCUGCCCCUCUUUUAAUUGGCCUUUCCUCAAUGUGUAUCUCUGUGAGUGAAAUGCAAUGGUAGAAUUUCUGGCUUAGAGGCAGGAGGUGAAAUACUGUUCAGUGGUGGUUGUGUAAUGAUGAAUCUGUGUCCUUUAAUUCCAGUGCUUGAGGAAGCACUCAGAAGAGUGAUAGGUUUCCCUGCCAGACAGGAGGAGCUAAAAGCAUCUUUCAAGAUAUAUAUGUAAAUAUAUAUGUAAAUACUAAAAAUGAAACAUUUUGUGUUUUCUAUAUAAGACAAUUUCUGGGAGAACAAGUAGGUUGGUGUAAACUUGGUGGAACUUUAAGUGAGACUGGGGAGAACAAAACCUGACUAAAAUACAUAUCUUACAGAGAAUUUCUCUAAUUAAAUUGAGAAGUUGGCACAUUUGUCAGUCUUGAAAAUUAAAAAGAGAAUAAUUUAUGAAUCAUGGUAAUACCUGUUUAAUGUUACAAGUUUGAGAUAAAGCAUUUCCUAGACCUUCUGAAAACAGAUUUCAAGAACUGGGACUUGGAAUUCUUUAAAGCAAGUAACAUGAAAUUAUUUUAAGGUUACCAGCUUUUAAUGAUGAAGACCAGGGCAGUGCAAGAUGGACCAGUUAUGUUCUGUGUGUGUGUGUGUGUGUGUGUGCCCAGCAAGCAAUGAAUGAGUUGGACUCAUUGCUUAUGCUCAGUAUAACCACCCCCUUCCCAGCUCAAUUCAGAAACAACUACUUGUAAUUAAAAAAUAGAUAAAGUGACAUUUGAAAAAAGUAUAGAAAGAAAAUAGAACUGAUUAAAAAAUGGCCACCAUUCUGAUUUUGUUAGUAUAAAUGUUCUGUCAGCUGGGAGAGGAAACACUGAACAUCUCAUCCUAUAUUAAGAUGAGAAUCUUGUUUUCCAGUAGCUGGCUAAUAUUUAGCAUUCAGAUAUAAUGUUUUCCAUCUCAAAAGGGGAAAAAUUCUUAACAGAUUCAUAGACAUAUCUUCCUCAAAGUCUAUAAAGAAACUGAAAUUCUAGCAUCUCUACCACCUACGAAAAAUGUAGAAUCCUGGAAUCUUAAGAAAAUCUGUUUGACUGCAUACAAGUAAAUAACUUGCAGAAAUAGGAAUAUUGCUUUGCAGCUAACCGUUUUGAUCAUUUUUUUGCGUGUCUAAAUAUUGUCAAAGGCUUGCCUGUGGUGUUAAUUGUGGUAUAAAACAGGGCCAUGUGACUUUGUAAUUUAAAUAGUGGGCAAAUGGUGAGUGUCAGGAAGAGCCCUUUGGGUUCCUCUGAAAAUGAUUUGCAUUGCAGGGUGGUCCCGUAGCAAAGGCUCAGCUAACAGUCACACUGUCCCAGUGUUCAUGAAGUCCUUUGAUAAAGAUUCACUGGCUAGGAUGAAUUAGGGACAGGCGGUAUUGUUUUCAGCCUAAUAAAUCAUGUGGGGAGAAAAAAGUCAGGAUCACAGUUUAUCGGUAGAAUUAGAUAAUAACAGAACUAUAUACUAGAGAGUUUAUCAAACUCUAAGAAACUGGAAGUCAAAGUAGCCUGAUAGGCGGGUAGCAAUAUUUUAGAAUAUCUUUGAUACAAAUUCAAUUCUGCUGCUCAAGUGGAAGUGAUUUUUAUGAUAUUUUAAUAAAGGGGACUUCAAUGACUGUAGCCUUAGUAGGGUUCACGCACUUUACAGCAUCAAUAACUUACAGUAAUUUAGUAGGGACUUGCAGGAUAUAAAACAAUGCUAGGGGAAGAUGGCUUUAUUGAAUCCUUCUUCUGUGGCCAAAGAUUCUUUUAAGUAUCCAGUUUCAUUGAAAACACUAUUCACUUGUCCAUCCUUCAUACUUUCAUUUUUGCACAGGAAAGGAACCUUGUUCAAUAAUCUUGGUGAAGUGAAUUAGUAGAUAACACUUGUUUUAUUGCAAAGAAAACAUUCUUUUCUUCAGUUAACUUCUUAAAAACUGGUUUUAUGACUCGACCAGAAAAGCAUUUUGUAGUUUAAAACAUGUGCCUAAGGACACUGCUCACAUGUUGUUGGCUUGGUGUUCGUAUAAAUGAAUAUACCCAGUUCUGCUCUUGGUCACAGCCUCCUAAAAAUCCCAGUACAUUUGCAGUUAUUGUAACAGAAUUAGCUUUGCAGGGCUGGGAUGGAGAGCCUAGUUUCAGUUACUGUGCCCUAACAUCCUUUCUGGACAUGGUGGGCAAUGUUAUAAUGUCACAUUGACUUCAUCCUGGUGUCUGAAGACGUAUAUGACAGUGAGCUCCAUCUUUUUAUCUCAAUUUACAUGUUUGGUAACUCCCUGCCUUUGGAAUCUCUUUAUCAAUCUUGUCUCAAUUUAACAAAGAGAUAACGCUAUUAUUUUUAUAAAAAUAAAAAUCCAUGUAGAGACGUGAGGCCCCUUUAUAGAUCUCACUGUUAUGAAGGCUCUGGUUGCACUCACCUUUUUUUUGUUUAUCACGUAAUCUACAUGAGACAUCUUCAAACUAACGCUCGUGAAAUUAGUUCAUGUUACUUCAGCUUCUCACAUGGCUCCUUGUUUUAUGAUUCCCUUCAUCACUUGGUUUAAAAAAGAUAAUAGGAAAACACAAAUAAGCAAGCAAAAUAUUUUCCAUGGGCAUAUUAUUCUGAGAUAUUUGACAUACAUCCUCAUCUAUUUUGGAUCAUUUUUAUUAACUUCAGUAAUAAUUCAAUUUUCUUUAGAACCUGCAGACUUUUAGGAGGAUUUUUGGUGAUAAUACCCUCUAAAUUCAACUGAAUUUGGCUAGGGAAUUCUGAAGCUUAUAAACCCAGUGUUAGUCUCCUGGAAUUCUUUCCAUUCUCAUUGUUGUCACAAGACAUUUUUUUACAUUGCCAUUACAUAACUUAAAUGAAGAACAUAGGUCUAGUCAUAGUCAUCAUCAAUUUUCUGAUUAUAUAGAGAAGGGAAAAAUGCUGGAGCAUUAACAAUUUUUAAAAGUACAUUUAAAUCAUUAUUCAUUUAUAGGGUUGCAUUAUUUUCUGAAUAAUGCAGCACUGCAGAUGGAUGAUUCACAGCGAUGUAAAGUCUUUUGUAGUCAUUUAGAGCCUCAUUAUAUGAAUAUAUCACUCACUGUUUCCACCCACAGACACUUCUUGAAAUGAUGAGGCAAAAUCAUUAUCAUGCAGAUGAAAGGGAGUGCCUACCAAAACAAAUAAAACAACAAUUUUAAUUAGGCUAAUGUAUUUAAAUCCCCACAAGGUUAUAAAAGCACACUUCCAGCCGUUUCUAAGACAAAUGGAUCAGGGCUCAAUUCUUCCCACUUUGAAAAAGGAAGUACAUCCAACUGCAGCACCAACAGUGAUCACAGCUCUCCUUAAUAUGAAUCUCUGGUAAGUCAGCAGCAAGAAAACAGCGUAUCCAAGUUGAUUGAAGAAUAUGCAGAUUUCGCAGCCUAAGUCUUAUUUUGGCAUGUAAAUACAUUAAGAAGCAAAAUGAAAUCCGAAACAGAACAGUAAUGACAAAGUGUAAGAACCUAGGGGCACUUGCAGACCCAAGAAACCACAAGGGGGUGGAGAUUUGGCUCCCAGCUGCUGAAUCUUCUGUUGUUUUGUUUUAUUUCUAUUUGAUUAGUGGAGGGAUUACUUCUCUUUACUUUUUUUUUUUUUUUGCAUUGAUUUAUUUCGCCUUUGUUUUCUCUUUGGCAAAUAUAAUAAUCUUUUGUUAGAGAUAGGAGCAUGUUAUUAAUGGAAGGAUUUGCCUGUUGGGAGAGGCUAAAGGGCUUCAUGAACCAGAAGCAAUGCAUUUGGUUUCAUGAACAUCCCCAAGGAUAAGAUAAGAGAUGAGCAUGUCCAGGUGAAGUACAACAACAGGCUUUGACCAAAAGAAAGAAAAAAAUGGUAAAUUUCAUAUGAAGAUCUUUUAGAUCUUUAUGAGUUAUUUCAUGAACCAUUUGUUUGUUUUCUUUAAUAUUUUUGUGUGUGCAGUUAAUCAUUUUUCACACUCAAACUAUGAAAAAUAGGAAUCUCCAUGCAAUUACCUUUGGCAACACUUGUUUGAAAGCAAUUUUAUGUUUCUGGCAGAUUUUGUUCAAUUGUGUAAAUUUUCUGAAGAGAUGAAGCAUUUAAUUCCUUUAUAUUUAGCUAACAGUUCACCAUGUCUUCCUGUCACAAAGGUACUUAAAUUGUAAAAAAAGCUCAAUGCUCAGAAUCUGCCAUAGUCUCUUCUUUCAUGGCUAUAUUUAAUCUGACACAAAACCUGUAUUCACCUGUUUGCAAGAUUUCAAGACUUCUCUUGUACUUUCUCUCCAAUCUCUCUCAGUCUUUUUUUGAUUGAGAAUUGAGGCAUGAGCAGUGCUGGUGGUCAUAAGGGUUAGAUUCCUAACCACUGACAGGAGAUGGGUAUUCAGGAGGCUGGACUCUGCUACUGGAAACAAGGGCAAAAAACGUGUUUGUUUGCUGAAGGUACUGCAAUAAUCCUGAACAUAAAUGCUCCUGUUUUUAUCAGUUUGGUACGAAUACAAAUUGGGUCUCAUUUGGAAACUGUGCAUCUAGCAAAAGCUGUAGCUUCUGGCCAUUAAAGGCACCAUUAAGGGAAAUGUAAUAUUCUAUGUUCAAAACCAUUUCCUAUAUCGGGAAGUGAACUAGAAAUUAUUUAAUUUAGAUAGUCCAUUAAUUAUGCUGUGAACUAACUUUCACAGCCUCAAUUUCUCUCUGGAUUGUCCUUUGCUAGGCAGAAGGUCCAUUACUACCCCACACUUCCACUCCUCUCUCCCUUCAAAGCCCACUGUGGAGCCACGGCGUCUUGCAUGAAAAGUCUCCUGCUGCAGGAGUUGUUUCCUCUGAAUUACAAAAACUUUGUGCAAUUUUUGGUCCCUCCUGAUGAAUAGAAUAUCACCCGAAGGGUCGUUCCUGCAAUACACCCAGGUACUGCUAUCUGCUGGUGUGCAGCAGCUGCAGAAAAGGCUACCUCCAGGUCCACGUACAUGAAAGGCAAUCAAGAAGCUUUACACACAUGAUUGAUGUUAAGAGAGGCAAAGCUCUUAGGGGCAUUCUUGAUAAGGUAACAUUUUAAGAUCAGGAAAGAUCAAAUCUACGCUAUUACUGUAAAACGUGUUAAAAGGAAAUAAUGCAGGCUUACUGGAAAUAGCUAUUGAUACACUUGUUCUGAACAUUAUAAUACAUAGGACACAUGGUCUCUGUGGUGUUAGCAUCAGCUACCUCAGAUUACUGAAUCUGGAAAAUCUCAGUUGCUGCAUAAACAAGAUUAUUAUUGCUCCUCCAAAAUUAAUCAAGUGUGCACAAAUCAAAAGCGAAACAUGAGAAUGUAAAUGAUGCAGAAGGCCACUAAUAGCAUAAAAAUUUGCAGCUUAGUGCUUUGCUUGGAAACCACAGCCAAACAGACAGCAGAUUGAUCUCCCCACGGAAAGGCAGGUUAUAGAGAAGUUAUAUUUCUAUUACACAGCAUUUGCAUAGAAAUGAUUGCUUCCUAUGGGGCUUGAUGUACAAAGACAGGAAGAGAAGGAGGAACUGCAACUUUAAAACAUCAUGGUACCAUCAUUAUUUUUUUAAACAUAGAAAGGAGAACUUGUUAUACCCAUGUGCUAUGGUAACAAUGGUGUCAGUAUGAAGAUAAGCUCAGUUGUAAUCACCUGGAAGUAACGCAUGUUAAUCACUUGCUGCUUACCAAAAACUAAUAAUGGUUGGUGAUGGACUAAGGAAAAAAAAAAGUGUACUUUUAGUUCUUAAGGCAAUCUGAACUUGUUUUUACAUCCUUGAUGAAAUAUGCAGUAGAGAAGUCAGGAACAGAACACGAUGCUUUCACACUCACUUAUCUCCUAGGCAUAUUUUAGGCACAUGAGCAAGAAAACACUAGAAAGCUUUAAAAAUGCUGCUCGUAAGGAAUUAAAAUCAUUAGACACAUUUCUGACAGGGUUCAUUAAGUAUAGAAAUGCUCUCUGGGAACAGAGAAUUCCUUAAUGGAGUUCACUGAGAUCUGGGCAAGGAUGCUGAAAAAGUCCUGUUGAGGUGAGUGGCAGUGAGAUGGUACCAGUGUCCUAGCACAGCCUGGAACAGCCAGGACAUCCCUAUAGCUUUGAGGUGGUGGAUAGAACAGUAAGCUUCAAGCAUCUUUGUCCAAGAGCAGGUUGGUCUUUGGAACAUCAUAGACAAAGAUAAAAUGAGAUGGUUUUGCUAAUGGACAUGCUUUUCGUGGUGGAUUUUAAAUCUUGUAGUUCAGAUUGGCUUGCUUAGCUUUUAUCUGUGAUUGCUCAUGCUUGUUUCCUAAUUGCUCCUUGCCCACUGGAGAAUGCAGCUACAUGUUUUAUAAACCAAAUGGGAAGCAGCAGUCAUGGCAGGGCAGCUGGAAGGCAGGCCAGGUGAUUCGAUGAUUCAGCACAGUCACUUUCCUAAUGGAGAGUUGACAGGCAGGGUGAUUGAUCGUGUGAAUUUCUUGAGAAGCAUAAUCUGCUGGCAUGAGCUGAAUACUUUAUGGACCUGAGACAGAAGCAUAUUUCCCCACACUGAGGAGAUUUUAAAGAGGAGGAGAAUAUUCUCAUUGCAAUUUUUGUCAUCAGGACAGAUACUUUCUCUUUUUCCAUUCUGAUUAAAAACUCUAUCAAAAAGAAGCAGUUUGGAAUGUGAAUGCACAUUUCUUACAAUUCACAAUGUUUAGGGUGUAAGAAUCUGAUUUUUCUACUGCUCUGUGAUUUGGCCAGCUUAUUACUAUUUCUUCAAGUUACCAUUCAUUUUCCACCUUGCAAAGAGACGUAAUUAAGAAAGAAUUACAUUUGCUCACCAUUUCUUUCAGCAGUACAGGUCAGACAUGUCCUACUGUACCAAUGAAGUUAAGUAGCAUUAACCAUACCAUUGCUCAUGUUGGAAAAGACCUUAAAGAUCAUCGAGUCCAACCACAACCUAACCAUACUACCCUGACUCUAACAACACACUGCUAUUAAUCACUAGGUGAACUUACAAAGCAGCCAUUUCUUUUUUUGGUGUUUAUUUUUCUCAAGUUCAUGAAAACGAACCAUGCAAGGCUGAUUUCAGACAAGAAAAUUAGUGAUUGAAGCAGAAACUCGCUGCAGUGGAGGCUUUGCAAGAUGCCCAAGUGUUGGCUGCAAUUUUAAAAUAGCUGUUUUCAACAACUUAAUGGUCUCUCCACUCCAACAGCAUCCUUCUCCUUGCUGAAUAUCUCAGAUAAAUUUAAUGCAUUCUGUAAAUACCUUCUGACAUACUUUUCAAUUUGUUAGUGUUCCUUUUCAUAAUUCUCAUAAUUUAUGCAGCCAUUGUGCAGAGUGCAAAGUAUAUAUCCAUUAACAAAGUAUCUCCAGUGACAUAUUGUCCUAACCUCUGAGUAUGGCUAGGAUGAAAUCCUCUCCCUAGCUGACAUUUAUAUUAAACUAUUUGUGAUAUUUAUUCGUGAAUAUAAGUCCUGAAUAAAAUCAAUUCCAGUUUAGCUAUAGACUUUCUGCCUUAGAAGCCACAAUAUCCUGAUAAAAACCUAUAUCCAGGGAGGAGAUUAUAGAUUACAUGCACCUGUUUUUGAGCUUGCCAGGUUUGUCAGAUCUAAGUACUGUAAGUUAAUGUAAAAUACUACCAACGUCCUCCGUGGACAGAAUUUUUAUUAAUAGCAUAGAAGAAAUGCUGUGAAGCUUAGUUUAUCUCGCAGCAAUCUGGUGUGUCCUCUCCUCAGUCCUUAUGAUUUGGCAGAGAAAAACUUGUUUUAUAGGGGUUCUCCAGGUGUGAACAGACUGCUUUUGGAUUUCAUUGGCCAAAAACACUUUAAUAACUUCUUAUUCUUGUUGAUGCUGUCAUACUAACACUUCUGCGUGAUAAGGAGAGAACAAGGCAGGCAGAAUUGCUGUACCUCUAGUGUCAGGAAGUGAAAAACAGAGUUUGCUGUCCAGCAUUGAGGCUGGCCUGGAGACCAGUCCCUGCUGGUAACUGAAUAGAAGGUUUGCUGUGUGAACUGGUGGACAUUCAAAAGUCUGAAGCUACUUCUGGAGGUGGCUUUCCUGGUUUCUACUUUACAUUAAAGUUCCAGGAUGGGUCAGGAAAGGCAGAACAAGCUGCAUCCAGAGACAUCAGCUCCACACUGGGAGCACCUUCAGCCACAGUCACAUCAGAGAGUUAUUCCUGCUUCGUGCUUACCAGUUUUACAGACUAUAUUUGGUAAAGAAGUAAGAGAAACUUUUUCCCAUAGGCGGACUUAAUUCUCUACAGCUCUGCCUGCAGCUUCUCGCAAGUGGCAUUUACUCACAUUCAAACAAAUGAACUAUCUUGGUCAUUCCCACACUGUCUUUUCCUAAUCAUCCAACAGCAGUUUCCCAGGGCCAUACCUGCAGGAGGACAGGCUCUGCCGCCCUAGGCGCCAUGCCCAGCUUUUACAACUGAUGAAUUGGUCUCCUGAGGACUGGUAUCAGUGCUGGCACUGGCCAACCUGUAUUCAGGGAUAGUUUAUUGUCCGUAACCUGUCCCCUGGCACAAAUAGGAAAAAUCUGCAGUCUUACUCUUAUGGGAUCCUGUGGGCUCGUCAAGGUAUGCUAAUUCUACGGCUGUGUUGCAAGGCACCUCAAAAAGCUGUGGUUGUGAUGUGACAUUUCUUUUCCCUUGAUAGCCAUUGUAAUACACAAAGAAUCGUGCUCCCUACAGAGGCAGCCACAAGAAAAUACACCCAAGAGUCUGGUGACAGCAUUACAGACAAAAGGUAUAAUGAAAUUCACAGCAGGUGCUCACUUAAAAAAAUGAAUUGAAUAACCAUUAUAGUUUACAGACCAAACUCCUGGGUGUGUCUGUAACACGAUGAAAAACACAAUGACAGCAGAGCAGCAAGAUCCCAGGCCACAGCAAGUGAGGAUUCACUCAAAUGCAACAGCAGCAUGUGAAGAAAUAAGAGAAAGAAGAAAGAAGAAACUUACUUUCAGAAGGCCUCAGGCACAUGGAGAUUUCCAAAAGCCUUGCCUCCCCUGCCAACCCUUAAAUAAGGUCUGGGAAGGGAUGCAUGCUGGCUCCAUUGCAUUGCAUGCACCUGAGCUCUGGGUUGGCCCUGCCUUCCUACCAGGUGCUCAAUCACUGCUUCAAGCCCUGGCUUAGCAUUUCCACCACAGUGUCCACGUCCAGAGGGAAUCUAAACAGUAGUAUCUCAUAACUUGUGCCUUCACUUUGUCCCCUCCAUGCAUACAUGAUGUCAACUUUGAGUUUUGUAUAUCUUGAUGGGCUCUCUCUCACCAACACGUAGCCAGUAAUGUUGCACCCCUACACUAAAAGUCAUCUAUCUGUGCCUGCAUUUAAAAGGAGCAUAGUUGUAGGGCAUUUAGCAUGAGGGUUAUAUGUUUUGAAAGCUUAAAUUGGUGAUUUUUCACAUACCUUAAACACCACUCCGUGACAUGAGCCCCAUGGCACUUUAGCACUUGCCUAAUACUCACAACCCCUCUGGUCUGGAGUUAGAGAGAAAUGUGAAAUGUUGUAAUUUAGCCUUAAAUCUCAAGGUUUCUAAUUUCAACCACUUCAUCUUCUGAAUUUAUUUCCCCUUAUAACAUCUCUUCAGAAUUCAAUGAGGAAGCUCACAGGCAGAUAACAAGAAUGAUCCAUCAGUUUGUCAGGCUGGGAAACAACAUUCUGUUUGGGAGGUGAAGUCACCAUGUAUAUGGUCUAACAAAUUAGAUAUUAUUCAGUGAACUCAGGGAAUUUAGUUAUUGUAGUAGAGCAUUUCGGAGGGACCACCUUCUGCAGAUUCAUGGCUGUGAAAGCUUCUUUUUGUUUCCCUGCCCCAAUAGAUUAGGGGAAAAAUGAAUGAAAAGAGGUUUUUCGAUGAGACAUUCAGGGGCAGGAGGUAUGGCAGGGGACAGGUGGGAGCAGGGAAAGCACCUGACUUCUCCAUUGUGACAGAAGGUUGGGCUGUGACUGCUUUAGACAUACUGGUGAUCCCAAGUGACCUGAACCAUCUUCUACCUGGCAUCAGCAAAAAUCCUUAAGAAAUCAGUGUUUCCAACCAAUCUGUAUUUGCCUAAUGCUUACUUUUCUCUUGGAUGUAUUAAUGAAUCUGCUUUUUGCCUUGCUCUGAUUGUUUGAAGCAGUCAUGGUGGAAGAACCCUCUGCAUCACUGUAUCAUCUAAAAAUGCAGGAAAAAAACCAGCAAACUUAGAUAUUUGGCUUCUCCAUUUGCUCAGGGAAUUCCCAGCCACAACCGACUGGGACAGGUUUGUCAGCUGCACUUAUGCUGAGUUUUUCUGAUAGUCUGAGAAGCACCAAAAGAGAGACUUAACAUUUCCAACCAACUCUCUUGAGCGCCUAAAAAGGCUUAAACUGCAGAGCUCCAGGUGAGGCAAAGCAUGAACCCAUUCCUGGAAAUGACGGAUUGGCAAGUGGUCCAUCAGAAACAUCUGAAGUGGGAAUGUGGUUAAACAUUUUUGUAAGAUGAGAUACAAUACGCAUAGUUCAAUACCUACGGUAGCUUUCUGAAAAGUGAAAUGAGAUUUAAUGUUUUCAUUUGUUUACUUACAUGUUUAAAGCAAUUUAUUUUUAAAGUGGCUGUAGCACACAUCUCUGCUUGCUGAUGUAAUUUUCUUAAAUUGCUGGCUGGUUUUGCAAGCCCAUGUCUUCACGUUUUUUCUUUCCACUUUAUAUUUCAAGUCUAUGUAGAAAAUUACCCAUGAACUGAAGUUAUCUUCUCUGGAACUUACAACUGCUGUGUCUUCACUCUGGCAAAGAACAGCAAAGACUUUUCCCUUUUAAAUGAAUGAGAGAAGUCAUCAUAAAAGAUUUAUUUCUGCUGCCCCAUUUUUCUUAUUUACUCCUAACAUUCUACCCAUUUGCCAUGAGCUUCUUCACAUUUACAAAACAGCCAGUCUUCUGCAAGGACAAAUUGUGCUAUUUACUUCUGUUCUCGGAGGAAACUAAUGGUGCAGCGGGUGAAAUGUCCAGGACAAUAAGGAGAACCGGUGCUGUGUAUCCCUAGCUGGAGAAAUAUAUCUUAAGUAAAUUGCUCUCAGCUGAAAUCAUGGAAUGUCAUGGAAGCAGAAAGUGAUCUGUAUUCUGCUCUUUGUGUUUCUUAAGCUCAGAGCCUGCCCGUGGGGAGGAAAAGGAAGGCCUGGGCAUCACUAUGUAAAUCAUUCACUUUUGCAGGGGGGAAUGGCAAAAGGAAAAUGGAUUUUUAUUGUAUUUUUCAAAUGCAGUGUUUACUCUUUGUUGUUAAUAUAUUUCUCUGUUUUAAAUCAAGAAGGAAAGAGCAAAUUAUAAAGGAAAAAAAAGUAAGCCAGUGGAAAUUGCAAGUAUAUCUGUGCUGUCAACAGCUUAGCUCCCCAAUUGGUCCAAGUCCCAGUCCUCCACGCUUAUCAGUUAAUAUUCUUGGGCUUGCUCAGUAAGGCUUAGCUUGUUUCGAAGUACACUAAAAUCCAGGUUUUUUUUCCUUCUCUUUGCUGGCUGACUCUGUGUUGUCCCGCACUGUCCCAAUGCUCUUAUUGGCACGCUCUGUUCUGGUUUACACCUGCUCGGAGCUGCUCUGCUCAGCCCCUGCAUUUCAGAAGUUCUCCAGACUGAAAACUCACCGUCUCCAAUUCUUAGAAACACAGAGAGGAGAUCUAGAAAAUGUAUAGCCCAGGUCAGGGACUGUGACAUGGUGGCUUCAAGUGGCCACCUCCAAACCACUGUGCCCACAGCAAGGAUACAGACCAGGAGAUGUUCACACCAGUAGCCAGCACAAAGUGGGGUCACAGAUGGAUCUGUACAAAUUCCAGUCCUGCUCCUUACCGGGCCAGGUCUGAAGCACACUGAAGUCGAAAGACAUCUUCAAAUGCUCCUUCAGUCUCCAGUAUGCAGAGAUGACAUUGCUGCCUGGAGCCUGCCUGGUUCAUUCUGUAGCUUUGAAAGGGUAUUUUUAGAUUUGAAGAUAGAAACAUAAAAUGAUAAUUUCAAAGGUGCGUAGGUGCAGUAAGGCUCUUCCUGCAAUGUUUCAGCAGUGCUGAAAAGUCAUAUUCAAAAACCUCAUUAGGUACCUCCACGCCUUUGAAAUUCAGGCUUUUAGAGUUGCUAUGUGUAUUUAACAUGAUUAGAAACGUCUCCCAAAUGAUCUUUUCCUACACUUCCUUUGCACAUUGCAUAAUUUCAUUUGACAUUUUGUUGACAGUCACUGGUAUAUUCUCGUGUUGAGUCUGGGAGCAGGUGAAUCUUGAUUAGGAAUUUGCCAUUUCCUUUGCAAAUACGUACAUCUGUAUGCUAACAUAAUACGACUCUUGAUGUCUCUGAUAUAUAAAGAGUUCGAUAAACAGGAUAAUUUCCAUCACGAACAUGGUUAUUAUCCGAAUCUUAUUUUUUUUAAUUGUAGGUAUGAGUUGUGGCUGUAAGGAGAUUUUGACUGAACCAUUUCUGGUUUCUGUUUCCUUGCAACGUUCCUUGCAAGAUGAAUAAGUUGUGUGGUAAGAAUAAGACGUACUUUCCAAAGAGCAGAUGCUCUGUAAGCCUAGUGUGGAUUGCCAGGAUUUGAGUGCAGGCCAGGCAAAAUUCAUUUCCUAAAUCCAAAUAGAAUUCUGGAUGACUUAUAGUAUCAGGAUGUAUCUUUGAGAGAAGUUUAAAAGUUGAGGAGCUUGAGUUUUGCUUGAGAAAAGAAAACCUGAAUCAACAGCUUUUAUGGGUGGGUAUUGAAAAGGGAAAAACUUGGAGUUCUGAAGGCCACAUUUCUGCCUGCCCCGUCUGGGAAAUGGGGCGCAAUGGGGCAGCUGGAGCCUGGCAGCUGGCUGAGUUCUUUUCCUCUCUUGGGCUCAAACACACAACUGCGAUGUGUCAGCAAUUAGAUCUCUGUUAAUUUAAUGAUUUUCUUCACCUAACUCUAUGUAAGUAACUGAAAGAAAGAGAAACGGAGCACUACACUGAGUGGACAGGCCCACUCUAAACACAGAAAGUGUCACCUUUUGUUGAAACAGGAGCUUCUUUUGUGACUUCUGUGAUAAGAAUAUAACAACUCCUAUUUUUCACAGGUUUUCUGUUCAAAUUAUUUACUAUUUGGAGCAAAGGCUGUCAUUUGUUAUGCAUUUGAACAGUUAUUCCUGUAAUUGAGUCUUUGAAUAGUUUAGGGGGUUAUUUAGAACAUAAAUCAUAACUAUGCAUUAGGCAGAGGGAAGAAAAGGUUUUAUUUAAUUUUGCAUACCCACAGACCUGUAAAAUUAAACAAAUUGCAGAAGAAAACCAGCACAAGCCUUCUUCUGAUAUUACAGUGCAGCAAACAUGCCAUCUGUUACCAGCGCUCUUCCUAUCCACUCAUGAAUCCCAGAGCACAUAAGAAAAAUGGUCUUUGUGAGACCCUCCGAGAAAUAUGUACCACCAGCUUGAGAAAUUGAAUCAGGAUAAUAUUAGAAUGUGAAGAUUCUGCCAUGGAAAUCCAGUUAUGAUCUCUUACAGGAUUUAUUAUUGUUGCCUUGAGAACUUAGUGUGGAAGCAAGCCCUUCCCUAAGAGCUCAGUUAGCCUGGUUGGCGGUCUUAAUGUAAACACCACCGAGAACUUCACUUUUAUUACUUCUGUUUCUUCCUUUCUUUUUGUAGUAUUGCUUUUCCUAGUGACCUUUAUGGAACUCUCCAUAAAAAUGCAGCAGAUCUUGCUGACCCUAACAACUCAGAGGAAACAUUUAAUCAUACAACAUCAGACUAUUGUUUGCAUGGAGUUGACUUGAAAUAUUUGAUAUCAACUCUUCAAAAAUAAGGACAACGAUACUCUAUGCUUUGAGGAAUGGAGAUCAAUUUUUUAACAUUUUUGUGUAAGUAUAGACCUUCUCCAUGCACGUUAUACGAUGAGACAUCUGAUUGAAUUUUACUUAUCAAGAAGUAGGAUAUAGUUUCUGAAUGUCUCCUUUCAUUUGAAGUUAUGAAGUGAUAAGAUCAACUGAUCCUUGUGUUGCUAGGUGAUACCAAACCACCCCAGACAGCUAGUGGCUGGCUUCAUGCUAAUCUAAACUAUUUUCAUUAGCUUUUCUAACAAAACAAAAGUCUUAAAAAUGUCUUCAUAUUUUACUUUUUGAAAAGAAGUACUUUGAAAUGAAGCAGUGGGGAAGUAAAAAAUAGAAACAAAUUUGCUUUCAAAUGUUGAAACAAAAUAAAACACUUUGAUGUCUUCUAAAACCUU